rnacentral:lncRNA from 1 species
UUUAUUCCAAAAUAAAUACAAAAUUGCACAUCAUGUAAACCCGUCAGAUUUAUAGUAAUAAUAAUGACGAUAAUCUAAUAAUCUGUGUUGAACUCUGAAACAUUUCUUUUAGGAACGAAGAGGAAAGUUAGUGAAACUGAUUCAAAGGCAGAGGAUAUGAAAUCUGAAGCUGGUAAGAGCAGUGCUGCAAGUGAUUCUUUAGAUGUAGAGCAAGAGGCUGAAGGCAAAAAUGAUGGAAAGUUGACAGCGAAAGACGAACCGGGGAAAUUGCCUCAAAAGGUAGCAGUUAUUAAAUAUGUCAGUUAGGUUAAUGAAAUAUUUCACAUCAAAACGUUAAGUUUUUUCCACACUUCCAUCAUGACAAACUGAGCAUUUACACACAGUUUCUCUUCCAGGACAGGAAAGCCAGCCAUGGGUGAGCUGAUUUCUCUUAAUUUCCUUUAAGUAAAACAACAGGAA